rnacentral:rRNA from 1 species
UACGUAGGUGGCAAGCGUUGUCCGGAUUUACUGGGCGUAAAGAGCGCGCAGGCGGUCGUUCAAGUCGAGUGUGAAAGCCCCCGGCUCAACUGGGGAGGGUCAUUCGAUACUGAUCGACUCGAAGGCAGGAGAGGGAAGUGGAAUUCCCGGUGUAGUGGUGGAAUGCGUAGAUAUCGGGAGGAACACCAGUGGCGAAGGCGGUUGCCUGGGGCUUUGCUGACGCUGAUGCGCGAAAGCGUGGGGAGCGAGUCCGG